rnacentral:rRNA from 1 species
UGCACGAAGCCGGAGUUGCUAGUAAUCGCGAAUCAGAAUGUCGCGGUGAAUGCGUUCCCGGGUCUUGUACACACCGCCCGUCACACCAUGGAAGUUGGGGGGUGCCCAAAGCCGGCAAGCAAAUAUGCUGUCUAAGGCAAAACCAAUGACUGGGGUGAAGUCGUAACAAGGUAAC